rnacentral:snRNA from 1 species
AGCUUUGUGCAGUGGCAGUAUCGUAGCCAAUGAGGUUUAUCUGAGGUGUGAUUAUUGUUCAUUGAAAAAAAAACUGUAAAGAGC